rnacentral:rRNA from 1 species
UACGAAGGGUGCAAGCGUUAAUCGGAAUUACUGGGCGUAAAGCGUGCGUAGGCGGUUGGCUAAGUCAGAUGUGAAAGCCCUGGGCUCAACCUGGGAAUGGCAUUUGAAACUGGCCGGCUAGAGUGUGAUAGAGGAUGGCGGAAUUCCCGGUGUAGCGGUGAAAUGCGUAGAGAUCGGGAGGAACAUCCGUGGCGAAGGCGGCCAUCUGGAUCAACACUGACGCUGAGACGCGAAAGCUAGGGGAGCAAACGGG